ACAGAGCGAUAAGAAAGAUAGCGGACGCAGGAUAUGAGAGGUGCUAAAGUCUGAGAAAAGUGGCAACUUCCAGCCAAGUCUGCAAAAGAAGCACACACGGAUCAGUUCUGAGCUCACGGGUUUUGUCUUUAGCGCCUACCAUCAAACAAUGUCUGGUCCUCACCACGACUGGUCACCUCAUGAUGGGCCCCCUCAUCAUGGGCCUCCUCAUCAUGGGCCACCACAUGAUGGGCCACCACAUGAUGGACCACCUCAUGAUGGACCACCUCGUGAUGGACCACCUCAUGAUUGGGAACCAGAUCGCGGACCACCACACCAUGGACCACCUCAUGAUGGCCCUCCUCACUUUGGACCCCCACCUCACCAUGGACCAUAUCAUGAACCUCCUCCAGAACCUGACUCGUGCUGCUGCACAAUAAUUUGAUGCAAUUUCUACCACAACUGUUCAACAAAGACUUAUGGAAUAUAAAAAGAAGUAAACAUAUUCCCUUGAUUAGUGAUACUACAAUUUCUAAAAACGAUAAUAUGACUGAAUCACUUAAUUUAUGGUUUUGAAAUGCUGUCUUUGGACAUUUAUCAUAUACAUUUGUCAAGAAGCACAAAUAUUUUUUAUUUUAUUUAUAAUUUUGUGUAUGCUAAUUAAAACUCAUAUAUGCUAAUUACAACCCAUUCCUAAAUCAAAAUUAUUAUGGCUCUAUCAAGAUCUACUGGUACUUGAAACUGUAUUUAUUGAAUUUUUGUAAAGGAAAUAUCAUAAAACUGUACUAGUAA